GACGUAGGGGGCUAGCGUUGUUCGGAAUUACUGGGCGUAAAGCGCGUGUAGGCGGUUAUUCAAGUCGGGUGUGAAAGCCUUGAGCUCAACUCAAGAAAUGCACUCGGUACUGGGUGACUAGAGGACCGGAGAGGAUAGUGGAAUUCCCAGUGUAGUGGUGAAAUACGUAGAGAUUGGGAAGAACACCAGUGGCGAAGGCGGCUAUCUGGACGGUUUCUGACGCUAAGACGCGAAAGCGUGGGGAGCAAACAGG
rnacentral:rRNA from 1 species